CUGAAUAGCUAUAUACGAAGCUGGAUAUAUAGUAAAAUUGUGGGAGCAGGGCUUAGGUCCUGGCUGAAGUUUAUGGCGUGCACGGGCGAGGGAGAACACCAUCGACUCUUAAGAAGAAACGCAACAAGAUAAAGAACGAAGAAGGCAUCACUCUCUAAAUAAAUACAAUAACUUCAAAGUAUCAUUAUUUCUCCAAAUUUACAUGGUAGCUAGUGAAAUUGGAGUCGAGUUACUUUGCGCGUCGCUUUGAUCCGCAGUUCCUAGAGCUGAGAGCCACAGAUGGAUCCAUUACACUUGUGCGCCAAUAUGCUAGCUACACAAGUAGAUAGCUUACCCGUAUGGACUAUAUCAUAGCUGUAUGAUUGACCAAACAUGUUUGAAAAAUUUAAGAAAAACGAAAAUAUGUGAAGUUGGAGUUCUUUAUACAGCCACUUUAAUGCUUAAAACACUGUUAUCAAUUUGAAUCCUGGUGUUCUGAAUGUAUACAUUAGGUGUACAUCUGCAUUGUUUACCCGAUUUUUCUCAAAUGGCAUGAGUUGACUCGUUACUGCGAUAAAGGCACUCUAUCAGAUUUAGUCACUCCACGAGAGUAAAUAAAUCUUGGUAUUCAACAAGAAUUGGCAUGCAAUAGUAAUGUUUUAUUAUAUUGCCUAAUUGAUACUUGUUUGUUGCGUUUGAAUCAAAUGCGUUUUCAGAAAUCAAAAUGCGUUUGUAGAUGUUCAAAAAGUGACCGCCUCGAUUAUUUUAAAAUGCCUUUAACCAAUCAAGUAUAUAUAGUAAUUAAGUUUCAAACAAAAGAACUUGAACGAUUUGAAUGAUAAAAAUCGACAUAAAAUUUAUCACGGGCACAAGAUUAAUAAAAAUGUUUGUUGGAAUAUCGUGAAUUAAUCAAUGGACGAAAAUCCUCACUGGAGUAAAAGACAAUUUAUAAGAACACGACCGAUAUUUUUCCUAAAAUAAGAAAAAAAUAAAGGGCUGAAGCAUAACAUAAAAUAAUAAUAUGAAACAUAUAGAUAUAUUGUCUAGAAAUAGAUUUUAGUAACUGACAAUGUAGAAAGUAGAAUUUUUAAA